UUCCCUGCGUGGUACGUAUAGAACGGAAUUUUAGAACCAACAAACUUUAAAAGGGAGUCCGCCUUUGGAUGUGGCGUGUAUGCUUAGGCAUUGCUUAAGAAACCCAUGAGCAUUCAACAAGACACCCACCUGUCUCGGCAGGUCCUUAAAAUUUCAUUCAUCUUACGGCUAAGGCGGGGUAU
rnacentral:other from 1 species